UCACAUUCAUUCAGAUAAAGCUGUUUACUAUUGAUAUUAUUUUGUACAGUAAGAGGUAAAAUAGGCAAAGAAACAUAGCGAUGGAUUUGAAUAAAAAAGGGAAGGGGUAAUUGUACAAAACUGUACGUUUCCCCAAUGGUACUAUUGAUUGAAACGUUACGUACUUUAUGAUAACAUAUUUCUCCUUUUCAAUUAUUAACAAGUAGCAACCACCUAAACAAAACCAAAGAAAUUGGUUCAAUGAUUCUUACUCAUUCGAGAAAGAGCCAGUUGUUGUAACACACUCAUUAGCAUUAAGAAACACCAUAUGCCAAUUGCCAAAGCUAACAUUAUUAUCUAAUUCCGAGCGUGCUGUUAUUGCAAAUUAAAAUAAGCAGUGAUGUGAGAUUCCACCAUACCAUUCCUAUCACAACGUACAAUAAGGUUCCACCUUCUUUAGCUAUCAUCCAAUUCCCCCUUCAACUCAACAAUUAUUAUGUUAACUUCCAUUCAGAUGCGUAAACGACUACAACUCACACAGUAAUAGUAACAUGAUAAACAUCAUCAUUUAUAUGCAUUCAAAAUUUUCACAUUCAAAACAAUAAUUACAUAUCAUCAAUUAAAAUCGGUUUUACAAAUUUCCCCUUUUAAGAAAAAUAAAAAAACUCAUUCAACACAUUAAAAUGAGUUAUUACAAUAGAGAACUAAAAUAGACACUAAAAUACUCAACAACAUAUUCUAGCUAUUACCAGUAUAAACUAUUCUUAUACAGGCUGUAAAAAUUAAAUUUGGCAUUUAAGUAUUUUUCCUUUUGAAAAAAAAAAUUUAGAAUAUUUACCAUCAAAUAUAAUAAUUAAUAAUUUCUAAAUAAUAUUGGAAAAAAUCAUUUUUUAACAAAGUAAUAAGAUGGUAUAGUAGAGAGAGAAGGGGAAGGAUGGAAAGAAGUAGAAAAAGGUGAAGAAACGGCAAGUACCGGAAGAGAGGACAAACGACAAACGAGAUCGCGUUCUCCUACAUUCUCCGAUUCCACAUCCGCAUUGCACUCUCAAAAAAAAGAAAGAAAGGAGAAUCGAUUUCAGAGCCCUGCAAAAACAACAAAAAAAGGGGGGCACAAAACCCACACACACACGACACAGACACCGCACAAUCCGAGAUGCUCAUUCUCUCUCCAGCUCACCAACUCAACUUUACCAUUUUGCCCUUCCCGGUACCUCCUCUUUUCCGCCGCCGACACU
rnacentral:lncRNA from 1 species